rnacentral:lncRNA from 1 species
CCCAAAAUAUGGAAAAGAAUCAAAAUCUAACAAAAUAUGGAAAAUUGCCAAAAUUGAAAAAUUCGCCAAAUUUUUGAACAUGCGGCCGCAUGGUGUAUUUUCAUGCGGUCCCAUGGUUCAGCCAAAAAUCCAUCUUGAGUUUCAGUAUGCCUCCAUGCGGUCGCAUGGUGCGAUCGCACAGGCUUGUUUUCAGCCUCCAAUUUCGUCGCUUGAUAACAAAUUGAUCCAAGUUGAUUCGGCCCUCGACCCAAACAUGAAAGUUGCUCCAUUUUGAGUCCCGAAAAUGGUUCCAUCAAUGGUUUCUUAAACGAGCGAUCCCAUCGCUUGUUUCACUUGCUUUGCCCUUGAUCGAGUCAUUGGUCCGCCAUCGACUAUCAACGGAUCUCGUCUCGCACUCGCCUUCGUCGGGCUCGACUCCUGGAUCAUAUCAUCCCCUCCCUCUUCAAAAGGAUUCGUCCUCGA